AUUGAACGCUGGCGGCAUGCCUUACACAUGCAAGUCGAACGGUAACAGGUCUUCGGAUGCUGACGAGUGGCGAACGGGUGAGUAAUACAUCGGAACGUGCCCGAGAGUGGGGGAUAACGAAGCGAAAGCUUUGCUAAUACCGCAUACGAACUCAGGAUGAAAGCAGGGGACCGCAAGGCCUUGCGCUCACGGAGCGGCCGAUGGCAGAUUAGGUAGUUGGUGGGAUAAAAGCUUACCAAGCCGACGAUCUGUAGCUGGUCUGAGAGGACGACCAGCCACACUGGGACUGAGACACGGCCCAGACUCCUACGGGAGGCAGCAGUGGGGAAUUUUGGACAAUGGGCGAAAGCCUGAUCCAGCCAUGCCGCGUGCAGGAUGAAGGCCUUCGGGUUGUAAACUGCUUUUGUACGGAACGAAAAGACUCUGAUUAAUACCUGGAGUCCAUGACGGUACCGUAAGAAUAAGCACCGGCUAACUACGUGCCAGCAGCCGCAGUAAUAC
rnacentral:rRNA from 1 species